UGGAUUAGGCAUGCAAGUCGAACGAGAAGCUCUAGCUUGCUAGGGUAGAAAGUGGCGAAAGGGUGAGUAACACGUGAGUAAUCUGCCUCUAACUCGGGGAUAGCCUCUGGAAACGGAGAUUAAUACCGGAUGUGAUGAUUGAAUCGCAUGAUUCUUUCAUUAAAAUUUUUUGGUUGGAGAUGGGCUCGCGUCCCAUUAGCUAGUUGGUAAGGUAACGGCUUACCAAGGCAACGACGGGUAGGUGGUCUGAGAGGAUGGUCACCCACACUGGAACUGAGACACUGUCCAGACUCCUACGGGAGGCUGCAGUCGAGAAUCUUCCGCAAUGGGCGAAAGCCUGACGGAGCAAUGCCGCGUGAAUGAUGAAGGCCUUCGGGUUGUAAAAUUCUGUCACCUGGGACGAAAUUUGACGGUACCAGGAGAGGAAGUGACGGCUAACUACGUGCCAGCAGCCGCGGUAAUACGUAGGUCACGAGCGUUAAUCGGAUUUAUUGGGCGUAAAGGGUCCGCAGGGGGUUUUAUAAGUUUGACGUGAAAUGUCGAGGCUCAACCUCGAAACU
rnacentral:rRNA from 1 species